AGCAGUCGCCGCGGUAAUACGGAGGGUGCAAGCGUUAAUCGGAAUUACUGGGCGUAAAGCGUGUGUAGGCGGCUUCGCAAGUCGGAUGUGAAAGCCCCGGGCUCAACCCGGGAAGUGCACUCGAUACUGCGGAGCUAGAGUGUCGGAGAGGUUGGUGGAAUUCUCGGUGUAGAGGUGAAAUUCGUAGAUAUCGAGAGGAACACCGGUGGCGAAGGCGGCCAACUGGACGAACACUGACGCUGAGACACGAAAGCGUGGGGAGCAAACAGGAUUAGAUACCCUGUAGUCCCUGUCUCUUAUACA
rnacentral:rRNA from 1 species